rnacentral:tRNA from 1 species
GUCUGUGUGGCACAAUCGGUUAGCACUCUCGGCUGUUAACCGAAAGUCUGGUGGUUCGAGCCCACCCAGGGACU